GAUGAACGCUGGCGGCGUGCCUAAUACAUGCAAGUCGAGCGAACGGACGAGAAGCUUGCUUCUCUGAUGUUAGCGGCGGACGGGUGAGUAACACGUGGAUAACCUACCUAUAAGACUGGGAUAACUUCGGGAAACCGGAGCUAAUACCGGAUAAUAUUUUGAACCGCAUGGUUCAAAAGUGAAAGACGGUCUUGCUGUCACUUAUAGAUGGAUCCGCGCUGCAUUAGCUAGUUGGUAAGGUAACGGCUUACCAAGGCAACGAUGCAUAGCCGACCUGAGAGGGUGAUCGGCCACACUGGAACUGAGACACGGUACAGACUCCUACGGGAGGCAGCAGUAGGGAAUCUUCCGCAAUGGGCGAAAGCAUGACGGAGCAACGCCGCGUGAGUGAUGAAGGUCUUCGGAUCGUAAAACUCUGUUAUUAGGGAAGAACAUAUGUGUAAGUAACUGUGCACAUCUUGACGGUACCUAAUCAGAAAGCCACGGCUAACUACGUG
rnacentral:rRNA from 1 species